UUUUGUGUUCAGUAGCCUUGCUGAACACAAUUAAUUCUAAUAAUGUAUUUCUAGUUUCUUUCGCAUUUUUCUGUUAUCUAUGAGUAGUAGAAGUUUUGUUUCUUAUCAAUUUUUAUAUCUUUAUUUUUCUUGUCUUACUGUGCUUAUUAGGAUUUGUUGUGCAGUGUUGAAUGGAGUGAUAGUAGAGGACUUCCUGCCCAUAUUUCUUAUUUCAAGGGAGACAUUCUCAGUGUUUCAUCAGUUUGUCCCUGAAACGUGUGUGUAAAGUGAAAGGUGGUAACCCUCGGUCAUCCCAUGGAGUUAGGAGCUGCACACUGCGCUGGUCGCUGGCCACACAGCUACACGCCAAGAGGCUUCUACACAGAAAGAGCUGAGGCUCUAGUGCAUGAGACGGAUGCCAACAGUGUGAUGUGGAUGGUGGGGCAAGGCCGGAGGAGCACGAGCGCCACUCACCAGGAAGAUCAGGUCUGCGCAGGGGCCCUGAGAACAUCUCAGACAAGUUCCCGGUGUUGCUGCUGCUGCCAGGCUGGGACCCACACCUUGAGAAGCACUGCCUGGAGGGACCACCCAUGGGUGAAGGACAGAGCCGUGCCGAGCCAAGCCAGCCCGCCUCCUGCUCCCAGCUCCACAUCCAAGAUGCAGACCAAAUGACGCGCUGCUCCUUCUUCAGCUGAGUGCUCCUGAGUGUGACCCAUUGAAACAAAAGGAGAACCGCGCAGCAGAAAGACGUCGGCAGGCUCUCCCCAAUGUCCCCAGCACCCGUGGACACUGAAGGUUCGUUAGUCCUGCAGUAAAGGAACCUUGACAGUCGUUUAAGGUAGGCUUCCUGAACUGACAUGACCAUGUAAUUCAAGCUGCUAGUGAUAUCCUUCUGGAUCUUUCUUUGAGGAAAGCAGCAUAGAACAUGCCUCUUGUACAGCUUUGUUUUGCAAUGUUUAUUUGAAAAGCCCUUUGUCAGAAUGUGGAGGUGAGAGCUGCUUGCUUCAUCUCUGAAAGGCCCGUGGUGGCCCUGGCAGUCUCGUCCUCCCCACUGGCCCGGGCAUCCCCAUGCCUCCUGCCAACACAGAGCCGCGCACAGAGAACAGGCACACGAGGGGAGCAACAUGUUCUUUUAUUGAUGCAAGUACAUCCAGUCACACCAACAGCUGACAUCCUUUAUUAUUAUAAAGUACAGCUUUAUACUCAGAGUUCAUCUCGAAAUACCAAAACAUCAUAGGGUAUGUAUCAAAUUGGGAAAAUAAAGUAGCAAAUGUAGCACUGUGUCAGGUCGGUACUAGAACUGAUGACCAAGUGAAGCGCACACUGAUGUGAAAGCUCCUUAACACAUGGACAGAAAAGGUUCUAACAUUGUAUUCCAAAUAUAUAUUCUCAAGUUUUAAACCUUUCUUUAUCUCAAAUACAUAAACAAAGCAAUAUGUACUGUCAAUAUACACUAUGUACUAUCUAGAACGUCUGAAAAGUGCAAAAACACUGUGACAAUACAGUGUAAACAUCCUUGCUCCACCCUGGGCUGAGGGCAACGGCAGCAGCGGAUCGUGGCGCCACCUCCCCCUGAGGCCUCGCCUUCACAUCUCCAGGCUCUCCUAGGAGUUUUGGGAAUUAGCAACUAACUGUCCUUGCCCAGGCCUGCCAGCUGGAGGCUCCGGUGGAAGCCAGCCACGUGGAGAGAAACAGGGUGAGUAGUUCCAAAUCUGCUUGGAUGGAAUGACAGCCCCGCCAUGAGGGAGACAGAGUCAGCAUGGAUUGCCCGUUUCUGGCCCUGGAGGGAGCAGGGCUGUCACUGUCCCAUGGCCGGGAAGUCAGAAAAUGGAGAGUACUCCUCGAGUUCGGGUGUGGAAGAUACCUCCAAAUGCUGGGCGGCUUUAUGUGAGUGGGCUCCAGCAGGUACUGGCCUGGCUAACCUUCCAUGUCUCACAUUCCACUAGGGGGAGCCCAAUCCCCCACCCAGAGGGAAGGAGGACACUGAUUUGUAAGUAAGUUGCUUCUUUUGACUUUGUACUUGAGUUUCAAGAUGGCUUUAUACAUCCCCAUCCUUAAUUGUACUUUGUAUUCGCUUCAUUACAGCUAAGUGUGUCAAAGUUACAGCCUGGAAAACGGACAAUUCCAUGACUCCCUCCUUACGUUACUUUAGAUGAUUUUCUCUUUUCCUAAAAUGUAGGUGAAGAACAAUUUGCCAGACAUCUUCCAACAGAAAAUAUGCUGCCAGGUGUCCCCCUGCCCUCCCCCCAACCCCCAUAAAUCCCUGAUAAAGGAAAAUGAAAAUGUAAACUUUGGAAAGCCCAUAUUCAAGGUUCACUUCUGGAAGUAUGCAAAUGAGACCUCCGGGCCACCCGAGCCCUUCUUGCCAGAACCUCGUGGGCCUGCGCUUUUAGGGCAGAGCUUCCCCGGCGCCUCCAGCGGCACUGGCUGCAGGCGAGAACGGGCCCGCCAGUACCCUCUAAGGCACUCACCCCGACAUCAGAGACACUGGCUGGAAAGGAGGCAGGGCUCACGUUGGUUUUGGUUGGGUUUUUUAAAAUAUGUUUUUGUAAGAUGUUAAUAAUCAAAAGUAGAAAAUAAAAAUCUACAUUUCAUUAGAAUAAGAUGUUAUCAUGGAUGCCAUCUCCCAUGAUACUCUUUCCCCACCCCUCCCCAAAGCAGGGCCCUGCCCUGUCAUAAACAAAAAGCUUUAAGUGCCAAAGGCUGAUGCAUGAAAUAAUUACUUUUUUUUUUUCAUAAAAGUUAUGUACAAAAUAAUGGACCCCAACCAGUGAGGCCUCAUCUCAACCCAUUAUCACUCAAGAUUAAAACUCAGUACGUAGGUGUGCUUAAUCCAGCGUCUGCAGGCUGCAUCCGUGCCUUCAGGCUCUGUUAAGGAGAGUGGUCCUAAAGGUGAGCAGGGAACGAGGAAGUGGUCAGGCGGCCGGCAGGCCCUUCCCCUGAGCAAGCAGAGGGCAGGCUUGUGCUACUAGGGGAAGGCCCGGCUGCCUAGAACCGCCCAUUGAGGGAGGGGUCAGGGACGUUCAAACCCCAAGUCCUCAGCCUGCACCCGGGAUGCCUUCCUCUCCCCGGUCUGCAGAGAGGCGCCCUCGGCCGCCUUUCCAAAGGGCAGACCCAUCAUGCCUACCCCCACCCCGUCCUUUCCCUUCCUUGUAGGCUCUGGUGUGGGGCUGCUCUUGGGGGCUCACCGGAGUGCUUCUGGAGUUCUCCUACCUGAGGGUCUUCCAGCUGUCCUUUUCCAUGUGGUUCUCGGGACCUUCACUUUCGAAGGAGGCGAUGAAGAGAGCUGAGAGACGAGAAGCCCCGCCGAAGCCAUGUCCACACACGGUCAGUCUGCCUCCCACCCUGGUUAUCCCUUCUCAAACUCUCCCUCCCAGGGCGGAGCGAGGCCCGGGCAAGAACUCCUAAACCAACGGGGCAGCGACUUCGGGCCAGGGCUGGUCCACAGGCCUCUGCUGCGUGGGGUUCCUGGCAACCUGCCUGGGGACUCUGAGACGUUUCCUGGUUCUGCAGCGCUGGCCCGACCACGUACUGGCUCUCUCAAGUGGCCUCGGGAGCCUGAUCUCUUCUUGUCCUUAUCCUUCACCUGCCAUCCGCCCAUGGCCCGCUCUCAUGCACUCACCCCUGCGAGCUGAGCUUCCCCAGCGUAGCAGGGGAAUAACAACCCUGGGAGGGCACCCUGCACGAGUCAGGGUAACUUCUACAGUGUGCGGAGAUGGACCUCACCUUCCUCGCUGUAGAUGGGAGCCGUCAGCAGGUAACUCUGAAUCUUCUUGUCCUUCUCGAAGGGACACUCCACCUGUGUCCAUGUCAUGAACUCAUGGAUCUGUCUGGAGAUGUCCCAAAAUUUCUGAAGGGGCAGAGACCAACUGGAUGUUCAUUUGUCACCUUAAGCUUGAAAACCCUGGUUAGCGCAGGGGACGUAGACUCUGGCUUCGGUCAGCUGAUAUUUCCCUGGUCCCAGAGAGACUGGACGGUAGCCCUACAAAGCUGACUUCAUAGCCAUGGAAGCACUCUACAACAGAGCCAGCCGGUGUCUCCAAGGCCAUUCAGUCCUGCCCUCUGCCUGAGCCAUCGGGCUGCAGCCAGGUCUGUGCUUCCGCUGUGCAGGAACCCCAAGAAGCGCCUCAUCUGUAACUCCAGGCUGAGGCAGGCGUCCCAGCCACACCCAGCACAGCACCACCAACCAGAACACCCCAUGAUCUCACUCUGGGGCCCUGUGGCUUCUAGCCCUGUCACCAGAUCAUCCACCCAGAACUGGGGCCACCCUCACACCUUGAGGUCACCGGGCACCCAUGACCCACCCUGGAGCCUUCAGUCCUAAAAGGCCCUUCUGCCACAGGGCCACAGCCUGGCAGCUCUCAUGGCACAGACGGAUUCUGCCUGUCCUAGAGCAAGGCCAGGAAGUCUGCCCUACCCUGUGCUGGGACAGCCUGGCCCCCUCCCCUCAGACCACAAGGGGGCUGAGCUGACCUUGAAGUUAAUGUGUCCAUUGGGCAGGUGGUUGGUGUGGAUU